AAAUGCACGUCUGCUUUCCUUUUCAAGAUAAAACCCUCGCCUGUACCUAAGAUUUACGUGUGCUAAAUCAUUCCUGAAAGGAUACUGCAACAUACAGCUGGUUUCCUCUCUACAACCAUCCAUAUGCUUCCUUAAGGAAGGAUGCCAUCACACCUCCUCCACUAUGAAGAUUCCACCCUUUCCUCACUUUAAACCCAUGGACCAGUCAAGUUCAAUAGUAAAGUCUAGAGUGGGUUUGCAGUCUUAAUGCACUGUUUUGCACAUUAAGUCCUGAUCACAUCUCAGUGUGGAGAACAAAAGGGCAUUUAUGUACAUUAUGAGUGUCAUGACCUUUACAUUUUUAGUGUACAUGGAUACUGUAUGUGCUUUGUAUGUGUGUAAGGGACUGUCCAAAGAGUAAAGCAGCCUCAGAAUUGUUAAAAGCAAAUUACCAUUGAGAUAAAGUGGCAUCUCAGUAUUGCUACCAGCUAUAUCAAGUAUUUCUGUAUGCUUAAUCUUAUGAAACAUCUGAAUCGUCUGACUUCCAUGCUGUAUCAUUAAUAAACAUCCAGUACCAAGA